ensembl:lncRNA
CUUCCUUUCAUAUCAAAAAUUCUUGAAACAGCAGUUGUCAAACAGCUAACAGAUCAUCUGCAGAGGAAUGGCUUAUCUGAAGAGUUUCAGUCAGGUUUCAUAGCUCAUCACAGCACAGAAACAGCUUUAGUGAAGGUUACAAAUGAUUUAAAUUCCCGGUUAUUGUUGACCGAGCACACCGCUCGUUGAGACCUCCACCGGCGGCGGGCGCAGCACCAAGACCAUUUAUCGCACGAAUCCACUUUUAUCGGGAUAAAGAACUCAUUCUGUGGCUGCGAAGAGACCGAGCGUUGGAAUACCAGGGCCACAAGGUGCUCAUCUUUCCGGAUUACACACCGGAGGUGAGGAAGCAACGACGUGAGUUCAGCGAGGUGUUGAAGACAUUGCGGGAGAAAAAAAUGGAACACAGUCUUCGGUAUCCAGCUAAACUUCAUGUGAAAUACAAUGGACAUCUGAAGGUCUUUGCUACAUCGGCAUGUCUUUGUUCUGUUUUCCUUCUCUCACCCCAACCGGUCGCAGCAGAUGGCCGCCCCUUCCUGAGCCUGGUUCUGCCGGAGGUUUCUUCCUGUUAAAAGGGAGUUUUUCCUUCCCACUGUUGCCAAAGUGCUUGCUCAUAGGGGGUCAUAUGAUUGUUGGGUUUUUCUCUGUAUCUAUUAUUGUAUGAUCUACUGUACAGUAUAAAGCGCCUUGAGGCGACUGUUGUUGUGAUUUGGCAUUAUAUAAAUAAAACUGAAUUGAAACUCAGUCACUAAAUGCAUUUCACACUUGCACUGGAAAAAUGUUAACACAACUCCAACACAGCUGUCACCUUUCACAUGCAGCAACUCAC